rnacentral:rRNA from 1 species
GUGGGGAAUAUUGGACAAUGGGCGAAAGCCUGAUCCAGCAAUGCCGCGUGUGUGAAGAAGGCCUUCGGGUUGUAAAGCACUUUUAUCAGGAGCGAAAUACUAUCGGUUAAUAACCGGUGGGGCUGACGGUACCUGAGGAAUAAGCACCGGCUAACUUCGUGCCAGCAGCCGCGGUAAUACGAAGGGUGCAAGCGUUAAUCGGAAUUACUGGGCGUAAAGGGUGCGUAGGCGGUUGUUUAAGUCUGUCGUGAAAUCCCCGGGCUCAACCUGGGAAUGGCGAUGGAUACUGGGCAGCUAGAGUGUGUCAGAGGAUGGUGGAAUUCCCGGUGUAGCGGUGAAAUGCGUAGAGAUCGGGAGGAACAUCAGUGGCGAAGGCGGCCAUCUGGGACAACACUGACGCUGAAGCACGAAAGCGUGGGGAGCAAACAGGAUUAGAAACCCCAGUAGUCC